AGCAGCCGCCGCGGUAAUACGUAUGUCACAAGCGUUAUCCGGAUUUAUUGGGCGUAAAGCGCGUCUAGGUGGUUAUAUAUGUCUGAUGUGGAAAUGCAGGGCUCAACUCUGUAUUGCGUUGGAAACUGUGUAACUAGAGUACUGGAGAGGUAAGCGGAACUACAAGUGUAGAGGUGAAGUUCGCAGAUAUUUGUAGGAAUGCCGAUGGGGAAGCCAGCUCACUGGACAGAUACUGACGCUAAAGCGCGAAAGCGUGGGUAGCAAGCAGGAUUAGAUACCCGUGUAGUCCCUGUCUCUUAUACA
rnacentral:rRNA from 1 species